AAUCCAUGUUGAGAGCAGUGUUGAAUCACAUCUUUAUGCCUUUCACACGCUUCAUAGAGUGACUCAAAAUCAUUUUGCUUGAAUUGACCAAUCUCAUUCUUGAGUUG